UACGUAGGGUGCAAGCGUUGUCCGGAAUUAUUGGGCGUAAAGAGCUCGUAGGCGGUGUGUCGCGUCGGCCGUGAAAACCUGUGGCUUAACCAUGGGCUUGCGGUCGAUACGGGCAUCACUAGAGUGCGGUAGGGGAGACUGGAAUUCCUGGUGUAGCGGUGAAAUGCGCAGAUAUCAGGAGGAACACCGGUGGCGAAGGCGGGUCUCUGGGCCGUAACUGACGCUGAGGAGCGAAAGCAUGGGGAGCGAACAGG
rnacentral:rRNA from 1 species